AUUGAACGCUGGCGGCAGGCCUAACACAUGCAAGUCGAACGGUAACAGGAAGCAGCUUGCUGCUUUGCUGACGAGUGGCGGACGGGUGAGUAAUGUCUGGGAAACUGCCCGAUGGAGGGGGAUAACUACUGGAAACGGUAGCUAAUACCGCAUAACGUCGCAAGACCAAAGAGGGGGACCUUAGGGCCUCUUGCCAUCGGAUGUGCCCAGAUGGGAUUAGCUAGUAGGUGGGGUAACGGCUCACCUAGGCGACGAUCCCUAGCUGGUCUGAGAGGAUGACCAGCCACACUGGAACUGAGACACGGUCCAGACUCCUACGGGAGGCAGCAGUGGGGAAUAUUGCACAAUGGGCGCAAGCCUGAUGCAGCCAUGCCGCGUGUAUGAAGAAGGCCUUCGGGUUGUAAAGUACUUUCAGCGGGGAGGAAGGGAGUAAAGUUAAUACCUUAGCUCAUUGACGUUACCCGCAGAAGAAGCACCGGCUAACUCCGUG
rnacentral:rRNA from 1 species